rnacentral:rRNA from 1 species
UACAGAGGGUGCGAGCGUUAAUCGGAAUUACUGGGCGUAAAGCGCGCGUAGGCGGCUUUGCAAGUCGGGUGUGAAAUCCCCAGGCUUAACCUGGGAACUGCAUUCGAGACUGCAUUGCUAGAGUAUGGGAGAGGGAAGUGGAAUUUCCGGUGUAGCGGUGAAAUGCGUAGAUAUCGGAAGGAACACCGAUGGCGAAGGCAGGUCACUGGGCCGCAACUGACGCUGAGGAGCGAAAGCAUGGGGAGCGAACAGG